UCUUCUUCCCUCUUCCAUGUCUGAAACCCUAGCUCCCAAAACCUUGAUUUCCUCCACUUUUCUCAACAAAUCAACCAUGGAUCUUGCAUCAAGGAUGGAGAAUAAGAGGAGAUCACCACUUUCUACCGAAUGGAAUUUCGAAAUUUUUGAGGGCAUAACCUGAGAAGGACGAGCACUCCGUUAUAGUACUGUCCUGCAUUUGGAGGUCAGCCUCAACUUUUAAUGCUCGUCUUCCUUGUUAGCCUCUGUGUGUCCAAGCAUUUGGGUGAAGCCUACCCGUUUAGUGAAGUUUUGGCUUAGAUUCUGAUUGUCUAUAAUAUGUUGUAACUUCUAAUGUUUUUUUUUUUAUUAUACGCCCAAACACGGGCGGGGUUGUAUAUGUGUAUGUAACUAUUAUUAUCUGUUUAUUUGUGAUCCUGGCAUGAUAGUGGUCUCUCAAUGGAUGUAGCU